GGAAGGCACCCGGAUGAUCACAUUAAAUCGAGCGUUUUUAGAUCAGCUCCUUAAAUUAUCUCUUUAAAAUUUACUUCCUGAGAAGUGGCAUUUGCCAAAUGUUGGGCAUCUACUUGAUUCCAGUGCUUUAUUACCACAAAAGAUUUUGGUAUCUUUUGGAUCUCUGUUUCAGUCUCUGACUUUGCUAGUAAGAUUGCUGGAUCAAAAGGUAUGGACAAAUUGGUCAUUUUCUUGCAUAAUUUCAAAAUGAAAUAACAAAAAUUACAUACGCAAUACUAGAACAUUUCACUGUUCUACCAACAAUGCAUCGAUGUAUCUAUCUUCCCAGAACUCUUCAAAUAUUGACUUUUCAUUUUUGUUAUCAUUGCUAAUUUGUCAGAUAAAAUGUGACACCCUAGAAUUAUUUUGAAUUUUUCUUUCUUUUAAAGGUUGGCAAACUAUGGUCUAAGAACCAAAUCUAGCCUGUUUUGUUUUUUUUUUUUUGACCUGUAAGAUAAGAAUAAUUUUACAUUUUAAAAUAUAAUAAAAUAAUAUUUUAAAAUGAAAAAAUAUUUUUUAGUUCCUAGACUUUGCAAAAACUGCUGGUAUAUUUGGCCUAUGGACCAUAAUUUGCUAGCUACUCAUUUAGGACACAUUCAUGUGGUUACAGAUGGCUUAUGAUAAAUGUUUGUUUUGUUGACUAAUAUUGAGUUUCUUUUGUGAAAAACCCUUCUCAUUUAACUCAGUGCCUGAAAUAAAACACUCAUUAUUUCAUGAUUGUUGAUUGUCCUGAAAAGACAUUUUAAUAAUUUCCAGCUUUUGUAACCAACAAAAUGAAGGACUAGAUAUUUUCUCUGAUCCUCACAAUCUUCAAACUUCUCCAAAAUAGAAAUUAUGUACCCAGAGAUAAAGCAAUUUCAGCUAUCUCUAUCCUCUACUAUACCAAGAAUCUAAACAACAUUCAAUCUCAAUAAAUUAACAAUGGAGAAUGCUAAUCUCUACUCCCCCAUGAGGCUCUCCCACAAAGUGGUAUACAAACUAGCCCACAGACUUGCGACAGGAUUCAAAUGCACUCUCUGACAACCCAUUUCACCUCCCAGUUCCUCCAAGAUCCAAAUAAUGGAAAACAGCAUUAAGGAGUACCCUGGUAGAACUCUUCAAGAAAACUGAAGAACAGAGGGAACUAGGUCAGGACAAGAGUGGGUUAGGGUAAAGACGGUAUAGAACUAUGUGUCACUCCAUUAAGCCUGAGGAAAAGAUGUCCGUGGGAGCCAUUUUUGCCUACCCAUUUUUCAGAGGCCUAGACUUCUGCAGCAUGGAAAGAAGCUAACACAGCUUUUAGAUCCAGUUUCCAGGAAAACUGUCAUCAAAGGGAAGGGAGGUAAAAAGUGAGCAACCAGGAAAAUUUUUUUUAUAAAAGAUAAAAUUACCAAAGAUCUCAGGGGGGACAAAAACUCAUUUAAAGACCUUGAGCAUAAAUAGACAAACCAAGAGGGAACAUGUUAGAAGACCACGGGGAAAAUGAGCUACAGGUAAGAGGGAAAGAGUUUAAAUAUCUAUGUAUAUGUAUUACAAGACAUAAGAAAAUGAAUCAAUACUUGCUGAGGCCAAGGACCCAAGGGAUUUUUAAGAGAACAUGAAACCAAAGCACAAUGUUCUUGAAUCAAAGGAAUAAAAAUUGUGAAAGCAGAAUGUAUGGCCUUCACAGCUGAAAACUUGAAUCUAUAGUGGCAUGUCUCACCAAAAAAAUAAGAGUACAAUUGAUGGGAAAUGCAAAUAUAUUGAAAUGAAGGACUAUCAGGAAGCACUGAAGCAAAGGGGAAUAACAUUAAAAGAAAAGAUGUUCUCCAUACAAUUAAAACAUACCUCUCUAAAACAGGACACACUAAGAACCUAAGGAUUAUAGGCCUCCCAGAACAUAAAUAAGAAAAACCUGAACACCAUAGUGCAAGAAUUAAUGCCCAGAAAGAGAGACAAUGUCUAGAAUUUGAUGCAGAAAUCAAUGAACCUAUCCAAAGAAUUGAAAUAAUGGCCUUCUCUAGUGCAGGGUAAAAAACAGAGAGAGAUUUAAAAUGUCACCCCAAAAGUUUUUUUAAAAAAUACAAAACUCUUCCAAAAAUAAAUACACAGGAGGCUAAAUUUAACAAUUCCAGUAAUAUAUGACAAAUUUUGCAAGUGACUAGGAGAAUGACUUAAAUAUAAAGAAAAGGAAAUUUGACUAGUACAAGAUUAUUUUGCCCUACCCCAAAACCACAGGAAGGAAAAGAAUAUGCCCCAAAGAGCAAAAGAGCUUAAGAUGUCUAGGAUAGACUACUUUGCAAAUCUGAGGCUACUCACAAAUGCAAAAAGAUGACUUGGUGGGAGACAGGGACUAAGCAUUAUAAAUAUUCCAAGAUGGAAAAAAAUUGAGCCUGAAAAAACUUUUUGCUUCUCAAACAUCCCAGACAACAAGAUAGAUAAAGGCAGCAACCAAGGACAAAAAUAAAAUAACAGAAACAUUUAUCAGAUUGUCUUUUAAAUAUAUACUAGGAGGCAGGGAUAAAAACAGAAGUCAAAUGGAAGUAAUGGUGGAGAAAUAGUCCUGAAACAUCAGGGAAUUGAACCUUAUAAACACCCCACUUACAAAUCAAUUAGAGCUCUUUGUGAGAUAAAAUUACUGCUUGGGAGGAUACAUAAAGGAGCAGAGGACAGGGAGAAGUUAAAGAGAAAUGUAUAGUGUACUCUAAUCAAUUCAAAGUGUAACAAUGAAUACAACUCUUGAGAAAACGAAACCCUGUAGUAUAAAGAGUGAGGAGGCAAAGAGAGAGAUUAAAAGAGGGGGAAAGAAAGGAAGAAACCUGGUUUAACUGUUGGCCAGGCAGGAAUGUGGUGUUUGGAGAACUCCUUUUGCCAUGAGUAAAAAGCAACCAGAGCUCCUUUUAAAGACUACUGAAACCCCAGAGUGGGAGGAUAUAGACCAGGGAAGAAAUGUUGAAGCAAAUGGGAAAAAAAGAGGGCAAAGUUCAAUAAUUAACUCCACAUCAAGAGACAUGGGAAGAUUAUGACUAUAAGGCAACAAAUUCUCUAAUACCUACAAAAAUCAGUGUUUUUAUGAAUGAGGCAUGACAGACAAAAGGGAGUAAGAUUUAUAAGGCAAUAAUAUAAACUCUUUUGAAGAGGGUACCCAAAAUAAAUGGCUCAAAAGUUUUAAUUUAGAAUAUAGAGAAUACAAAGCAUAAAGAAUACAGAUAAUACAAAGGAAUACAUGCAGAAAAUAAAAAUAAAUAUAAGGGAUAAAUGAUGAACUGAAUGAGGAAUAGAAAUUCUUUUUAAAAAUAAAAACAGAAAAUGAACAUUUAAAAA